CAGCAGCCGCGGGAAUACGUAGGGUGCGAGCGUUAAUCGGAAUUACUGGGCGUAAGGCGUGCGCAGGCGGUUAUAUAAGACAGAUGCGAAAUCCCCGGGCUCAACCUGGGACCUGCAUUUGUGACUGUAUAGCUAGAGUACGGUAGAGGGGGAUGGAAUUCCGCGUGUAGCAGUGAAAUGCGUAGAUAUGCGGAGGAACACCGAUGGCGAAGGCAAUCCCCUGGACCUGUACUGACGCUCAUGCACGAAAGCGUGGGGAGCAAACAGGAUUAGAUACCCCUGUAGUCCCUGUCUCUUAUAC
rnacentral:rRNA from 1 species